UACGAAGGGGGCUAGCGUUGUUCGGAAUUACUGGGCGUAAAGCGCACGUAGGCGGAUUGUUAAGUCAGAGGUGAAAUCCCGGAGCUCAACUUCGGAACUGCCUUUGAUACUGGCAAUCUCGAGUCCGGAAGAGGUUAGUGGAAUUCCCAGUGUAGAGGUGAAAUUCGUAGAUAUUGGGAAGAACACCGAUGGCGAAGGCAGCCAUCUGGACCGACACUGACGCUGAGGCGCGAAAGCGUGGGGAGCAAACAGG
rnacentral:rRNA from 1 species